GUACUUAUUGAAAAAUAGGGCUUUCCCAUUCUUU
rnacentral:rRNA from 1 species